rnacentral:rRNA from 1 species
UGCGGAGGGUGCAAGCGUUAUCCGGAUUCACUGGGUUUAAAGGGUGCGUAGGUGGGUUGGUAAGUCAGUGGUGAAAUCUCCGAGCUUAACUUGGAAACUGCCAUUGAUACUAUCAGUCUUGAAUACCGUGGAGGUCAGCGGAAUAUGUCAUGUAGCGGUGAAAUGCUUAGAUAUGACAUAGAACACCAAUUGCGAAGGCAGCUGACUACGCGAAUAUUGACACUGAUGCACGAAAGCGUGGGGAUCAAACAGG